rnacentral:rRNA from 1 species
UGGCAGUCAGAGGCGAUGAAGGGCGUGCUAAUCUGCGAUAAGCGCCGGUAAGGUGAUAUGAACCGUUAUAACCGGCGAUACCCGAAUGGGGAAACCCAGUGUGACUCGUCACACUAUCAUUAACUGAAUCCAUAGGUUAAUGAGGCGAACCGGGGGAACUGAAACAUCUAAGUACCCCGAGGAAAAGAAAUCAACCGAGAUUCCCCCAGUAGCGGCGAGCGAACGGGGAGGAGCCCAGAGCCUGAAUCAGCAUGUGUGUUAGUGGAAGCGUCUGGAAAGGCGCGCGAUACAGGGUGACAGCCCCGUACACAAAAGCGCAUGUGCUGUGAGCUCGAUGAGUAGGGCGGGACACGUGGUAUCCUGUCUGAAUAUGGGGGGACCAUCCUCCAAGGCUAAAUACUCCUGACUGACCGAUAGUGAACCAGUACCGUGAGGGAAAGGCGAAAAGAACCCCGGCGAGGGGAGUGAAAAAGAACCUGAAACCGUGUACGUACAAGCAGUGGGA